CCCGUCCAGCAAACAGUCCGGGCAGAGGCAGGUGAGAGGAGCUGAUUCUUAAGGGAAAUGGGAGUGGCUGUCCUUGUUGCACCUUGGGGAGAUGGCAGCUAGCACCACCUCCACACACAGCACCAGAGACCACGCCAAUACACCUGUAGCAACGGACACGUAUGCCAAACAUGGAGAAGAGGCCGUAAUAGUCUUUGAGGGAGAGAGAUCUCUUGGCUCCCACCAGAUCAGACCCCGGGGGACUGAGGCAGGCCGUGCCGUUGGGCAGCUGCUCCUCUAUCCAGCGAUCCACCAGACCCUUGUUGACCAGCUCCAAGAUACUGCCCGGGUUAUUUGAUUUACCGUGUGUGUGUGUGUGUGUGUGUGUGUGUGUGUGUGUGUGUGUGUGUGUGUAAUUCA